GUGAGUUAACUUCAUACAGCUCGUAUAAUCGCAGGGAUAUGGCCUGCAAGUUUCUACCAAACCCCCGUUAAGGGUUUGACUACGAGUGACGCAAACUUUCCA
rfam:Fictibacillus phosphorivorans strain G25-29, complete genome.